rnacentral:rRNA from 1 species
UACGUAGGGUGCAAGCGUUAAUCGGAAUUACUGGGCGUAAAGCGUGCGCAGGCGGUUAUGUAAGACAGGUGUGAAAUCCCCGGGCUUAACCUGGGAACUGCAUUUGUGACUGCAUAGCUAGAGUACGGUAGAGGGGGAUGGAAUUCCGCGUGUAGCAGUGAAAUGCGUAGAUAUCGGGAGGAACAUCAGUGGCGAAGGCGGCUGCCUGGCCCAAUACUGACACUCAGGUGCGACAGCGUGGGGAGCAAACAGG